CCAAACAAAACACACCGUAUCAUUUAAACGUAAUCAAAUUAAAAUGGGCUUCGUCUUGAAUAUUUAGCGGGCUCCUUCUUAUUAAGUUUUGUAAAAGUCAAAAAGUAACCCCGUUAAAGAGACUAAUAUUUUCUUAGCGCAAGCGAUAUCCAGUUUUAGGGUUCAUCUUCUUCUUUGAUCUUUCACCAACAAUGGAGUUUCAGGAGGGUUGAGUUAGACGAAUCGUCGUGAACAAUCCCUAUAUUAAACAUCGUAGUUUCGUUUUCGGUUCUUAUCCUCCGAAACGUUACGAGAUUAUUGAUUCAAUGCCAUUAACACCUUUUAACUCCUUCGACUACUACAGAUCACUCAUUCAAUGAUUCUUAUCUCCUUUACAUGCGGUGGAUCUCCACCUAUAUAAAGUUCAUACCUUUAACACAUCCCCGCAAUUCCUCAUAGCUAUACAUUGGUUUCCGACGAUUUGGUGUAUCGCUUAUUGUAAUGAUAUCAUCUCGCCGUCUUCUCCCUGUAGGUGAAACAAGAUUGUUCCAAAUCCUCACAGUUUGGUUUCCGACGACUCGGGAUCAUUAUUAGCUAUUGUGGCAGAGAAACGUGUCGUUGCAGUGCUGACAACUAUAGCAGAAGACGACAUCCCAAAUAUCAGUCAUGAGUUUGAGCCGGUGGAACAAAGAUCGAUGAUUUAUACAUUCAGUCAAAGGGAGUCUCUAAACAUUUUUAUUCAUAUGCUUUCUGCAGCAAAAGCUCCUGCAGUGCUUUGACCAUCAAGAUAUGUGUUUUGUAUGUUUCAGGUCAUGGGUUACUGCAAGUACUCCCCUACACAACAGCAUCACGAAUUGAGGGUGGAGCGGGAGAGAGGUUAGCAGUCUUUAAUUAUGGGAUGUUCUGUGCAUUACUAGCCAAAUAAAAUCUGUUCUGGAGUUGCGAAGUCAACAACAAUUUUCGAAGUACAGAAGUAGCAGCGGCAAUUGUGGGGAUGAUUGCUUGACUUUUUGACUUUCAUCGAUUGUCAUGCUCAAGGAUGAAGCUGAAAAAUCCUCAGAAGAGGGAUCAAAUGCAAGCUAAGCAUCCUGGAGUUCAUAGCCCGCAAAUCUAGCUAAUCCAUCUGUUUCACACGUUUUUUAAUUGAUGCGUGCAAGAAGACCAGCAGUCAUGGACUAAGAUUCAUACUUCUUCUACUCUAUACCAUCAUAUGUACGCCUUGAUAGUUUGAGAUUGAACAAGAAAUUACAACAUUGUUUCAUAGUUUGAGAAGAAGAAAUAUGGUGGUUGGUGACUGUUU